UACGUAGGGUGCAAGCGUUAAUCGGAAUUACUGGGCGUAAAGCGUGCGCAGGCGGUUAUGUAAGACAGUUGUGAAAUCCCCCGGGCUCAACCUGGGAAGCUGCAUCUGUGACUGCAUAGCUAGAGUACGGUAGAGGGGGAUGGAAUUCCGCGUGUAGCAGUGAAAUGCGUAGAUAUGCGGAGGAACACCGAUGGCGAAGGCAAUCCCCUGGACCUGUACUGACGCUCAUGCACGAAAGCGUGGGGAGCAAACAGG
rnacentral:rRNA from 1 species